rnacentral:siRNA from 1 species
GAUAUGGAUCUACACGAUGUUG